UUUUGUAUUUUUAGUAGAGACGGGGUUUCUCCAUGUUGGCCAGGCUGGUCUCAAACUCCCGACCUCAGGUGGAUCACCUGAGAUCAGGAGUUUGAGUUUGAGACCAGCCUGGCCAACAUGGCAAAACCCCGUCUCUACUAAAAAUAAAAAAAAAAUUAGCUAAGCAUGGUGGUGCCCGCCUGUAGUCCCAGCUACUUGGGAGGCUGAGGCAGGAGAAUCACUUGAACCUGGGAGGCAGAGGUUGCAGUGAGCUGAGAUCGUGCCAUUGCACUCCAGCCUAGGCGACAGAGCAAAACUCCAUCUCAAUAAUAAUAAUAAUAAUAAUAAUAAUAAUAAUAUGAAAAAACAUUAAAUGUGCUUUGUUCAUUUCAUCAUGUAUUUAACAGUAUGUGGGAGAGCAAAACUGAGGGGACCAACCCUAGAGGGCUGGCCAGAGAAAACCUCCCUGUGGAAGUGCUAGUUAAGAUAAGAUCUAAAGGCCAGAUGGGGGCCCCCCCAGUGGCUCACGACUGUAAUUCCAGCACUUUGGGAGGCUGAAGCAGGUGGAUCACCUGAGGUCAGGAGUUUGAGACCAGCCUGGCUCACAUGGGGAAACCUCGUCUCUACUAAAAAUACAAAAAUUAGCCAGGCGUGGUGUGCACCUGUAAUCCCAGCCACUCAGGAGACUGAGUCAGAAUUGCUUGAACCUGGGAGGCGGAGGUUGCAGUGAGCCAAGAUUGAGCCACUACACUCCAGCCUGGGUGACAGAGCCAGACUCCAUCUCAAAAAUAAAUAAAUAAAUAAAAAAUAAA
rnacentral:lncRNA from 10 species